AUACGUAGGUGACAAGCGUUAACCGGAUUUACUGGGUGUAAAGGGCGUGUAGGCGGUUUAGCAAGUCAGAAGUGAAAUUCCCGGGCUUAACUUGGGCGCUGCUUCUGAAACUGCUUUACUUGAGUGCUGGAGAGGAUAGUGGAAUUCCUAGUGUAGCGGUAAAAUGCGCAGAUAUUAGGAGGAACACCGGUGGCGAAGGCGGCUAUCUGGACAGUAACUGACGCUGAGGCGCGAAAGCACGGGGAGCAAACAGGAUUAGAUACCCUGGUAGUCCGUGCCGUAAACGAUGAAUACUAGGUGUAGGGGGUAUCGACUCCCUCUGUGCCGCAGUUAACACAUUAAGUAUUCCACCUGGGGAGUACGGCCGCAAGGUUGAAACUCAAAGGAAUUGACGGGG
rnacentral:rRNA from 1 species